AAUAAUUAGCUCAGCUUCAUGCAUCUUUCCCUUGUCUUUGUUGCGCUCUCCUUAACAACAUAGACCGCCAAGCCUCACCACCGCCACCAACCUCCGCCGUCCCUGACCGCGUCGCCGCCGCCCGGCCUCGCCGUCUCCAGGAGCAGAUUCCACUGGAUCCAGUGGCAGCAGGACUCCCGCAAUUCAAUCUAAUUUCUUGCUCUGUAAGUUGCAUUUCAUCACUUCCAAUCUCUGUAAGUUGGAUUUCCCCAAUUCCAAUCAAUUCUCUCUUCUUCAAUCUCAUCUCAACUCUUUCCUCCCCCAUUUCUCCGUUCUUCCGAUCACUUAACCUCUAUACUAUCUUUCGUCUUUCCUCAGCUUCGGCACGCUAAUCAGGAAUAUUGUGUGCUCCUCGCUGGUUGUGGUUUGGCAUACUUAGGGUUUCUGGUUUUGACGAGUGGGAUUAGUUAACAUUUCAAUGGAACCGCUGGUAGUAUAGGGGAACUUCUCGUACUGUCAGUAAUUGGGGGGGGGGGGGGGGGG
rnacentral:lncRNA from 1 species